GAGGGUGCUGCGCUUCGAGUUUGAUCCUGGCUCAGGGUGAACGCUGGCGGUAUGCCUAAGACAUGCAAGUCGCACGGACCGGUUUCGGCUGGUCAGUGGCGGACGGGUGAGUAACACGUGGGAGACGUGCCCUCAAGUGGGGGAAAACCAGGGGAAACCCUGGCUAAUCCCCCAUGUGAACCCCCGCUUGGGCGGGUGUUUAAAGCUUCGGCGCUUGAGGAUCGGCCCGCGGUGCAUCAGGUAGUUGGUGGGGUAAUGGCCCACCAAGCCGACGACGCAUAGCUGGUCUGAGAGGACGACCAGCCACAGGAGCACUGAGACACGGGCUCCACUCCUACGGGAGGCAGCAGUUAGGAAUCUUCGGCAAUGGGCGAAAGCCUGACCGAGGCGAUACCGCUUGAAGGGAUGAAGCCCUUCGGGGUGUAAACUUCUGAACUCGGGACGAUGAUGACGGUACCGAGGUAAUAGCACCGGCUAACUCCGUGCCAGCAGCCGCGGUAAUACGGAGGGUGCGAAGCGUUACCCGGAUUUACUGGGCGUAAAGGGCGUGUAGGCGGUCUCUCAAGUCCGAUGCUAAAGACUGGGGCUCAACCCCAGGAGUGCGUUGGAUACUGGGAGGCUAGACGGUCGGAGGGGGUAGCGGAAUUUCCGGGAGUAGCGGUGAAAUGCGCAGAUACCGGAAGGAACGCCAAUAGCGAAGGCAGCUACCUGGACGACUUGUGACGCUGAGGCGCGAAAGCGUGGGGAGCAAACCGGAUUAGAUACCCGGGUAGUCCACGCCCUAAACCAUGAGUGCUGGGUGUCCCGGCUUCUGCUGGGUGCCGUAGCUAACGCGCUAAGCACUCCGCCUGGGAAGUACGCACGCAAGUGUGAAACUCAAAGGAAUUGACGGGGGCCCGCACAAGCGGUGGAGCAUGUGGUUUAAUUCGAAGCAACGCGAAGAACCUUACCAGGCCUUGACAUGCCCGGAACCCCUCUGAAAGGAGGGGGUGCCCGCAAGGGAGCCGGGACACAGGUGCUGCAUGGCCGUCGUCAGCUCGUGUCGUGAGAUGUUGGGUUAAGUCCCGCAACGAGCGCAACCCCUAUCCCUAGUUGCCAGCAGUUCGGCUGGGCACCUCUUAUGGAGACUGCCCUGCGAAAGCAGGAGGAAGGCGGGGAUGACGUCUGGUCCGCAUGGCCCUUACGGCCUGGGCGACACACGUGCUACAAUGCCAAGGACAAAGCGCUGCUACCUCGCGAGAGGACGCCAAUCGCAAAAACCUUGGCUCAGUUCGGAUUGGAGUCUGCAACUCGACUCCAUGAAGCCGGAAUCGCUAGUAAUCGCGAAUCAGCCACGUCGCGGUGAAUACGUUCCCGGGCCUUGUACACACCGCCCGUCAAGCCAUGGAAGUGGGUUCUGCCUGAAGUCGCCGGUAGCCUUGGGCAGGCGCCGAGGGCCGGGCUCAUGACUGGGGCUAAGUCGUAACAAGGUAGCUGUACCGGAAGGUGCGGCUGGAUCACCUCCUAAGGGCAGCUCAAUCGCCCUAUAUAGUACGGCG
rnacentral:rRNA from 2 species